AACGAACGCUGGCGGCAGGCUUAACACAUGCAAGUCGAACGCCCCGCAAGGGGAGUGGCAGACGGGUGAGUAACGCGUGGGAAUCUACCCAUCUCUACGGAAUAACUCAGGGAAACUUGUGCUAAUACCGUAUACGCCCUUCGGGGGAAAGAUUUAUCGGAGAUGGAUGAGCCCGCGUUGGAUUAGCUAGUUGGUGGGGUAAAGGCCUACCAAGGCGACGAUCCAUAGCUGGUCUGAGAGGAUGAUCAGCCACAUUGGGACUGAGACACGGCCCAAACUCCUACGGGAGGCAGCAGUGGGGAAUAUUGGACAAUGGGCGCAAGCCUGAUCCAGCCAUGCCGCGUGAGUGAUGAAGGCCUUAGGGUUGUAAAGCUCUUUCACCGGAGAAGAUAAUGACGGUAUCCGGAGAAGAAGCCCCGGCUAACUUCGUGCCAGCCGCCGCAGUAA
rnacentral:rRNA from 1 species